UCUCUGGUAGUAUAUUAAUUAGUACAUGUGCCUGUUAUAAUCUUUUGAAUAAUUGGACUUUUGCACAAAAGUUGGGUUUGACUCUCAGCCAGAGAG